GCACGCUCCCGCGGGACAGGGAGAGUUACAGGCUUCAGACUUUAUCUCGUUGUGGAAAGCAAGAGACCAAGCCAAAAACUUUGGUCGUGCUUUUCAACAUCUCCGGUCAAAAGAGGAAAAGCAACAAAUGAUCAGGAGAAUUGGGGGCUUACCCAGUGAGCGAAGCUUUGGCAAAAAUGUAAAGCCGUGCAGCACAAUGCAAGAGGAGGCCAAGGACUCCCUGCAAAACCUCAACUUCAAGCCUAAAACAGCCUGAAGGUUGAAAAACUGGACUGCUGGCUCCAGAUGAAGUCCACCCUUUCCCAACUGAUUCUUUCUGAAUAAUGCCCACCUGCACACUCAGAGGAUGGGGUGGGGCCAUGCAAGCUCCCUGCCGGGAACCCAGCCUCUUGAGCUCCUAUGUGGUGGGGCAGGAGCCAGUUCACAGGCUUCCCUCUCACUCUGCUGAGAGUUUUUCUCUUUUCCUUUUUUUUGCCCAAUAAAUUCCAUUUUUCUCACCCUUCUGUGUGUCCAUGAGCCUAAUCUUUUCUGAUUGUGUGACAAGAACCUGUAUUUUCCUACAACAUCUUUACUCAAAAAUUCGAAUUAGAUUACUUUUAAAUGUAACUUAAGCAAACCUUAUUUUCUCUGCCUGGAUCAGAUGUCUACCACAAAUAAUAGAUUUCAAUAAGAAAAGGCAGGUCCAUAUAGCAGAGACAUAGCUACAGAUAGCCUGAACCUGGAUGUCAGGGCUGUUCUACUAAAGCAGAGGUUGCUGUGAGAUGCGGAGCCUGCCUACGUGGGAACUGCGCUACAUCAGAUAGAUUUGGCACCUGCCAGGGUCUUGCACAGAUGCUUGCCAAGAUUCUUUGUAAUAACCUGGGAAGAUGUGUUCUGCCAGGUACCACCGUGUCAAUGAUAAACUGGAACAUCUGAGUUGUCAAAGCUGAAUGAUGUUCCAUUGCAACACAUGAGAAAAAUGCCUCUCUCUGCAUUUACAGUUUCACUUUCUAUACAUAGUCUCUAAGAGUUGCUGCUUCUACCCUAAUACCUUACAUGCUGUACUAGUUUUUCCUUAGAGCUCCUUCCCCUGCCCUCCUUCUAUGAGACUAUUACACGAGGCUAAAAUGUGGGGCCAGAAGAUAAAUCUAAUGAGAGCUGUUGCUAGUGGUUUCAAAAUAAUUUCUUUUCUCAAGUGACUAAAUAUAUAUUUUUUAAUUUUGCUGGCUCCAGAGUGGCAUGCCUGACACAGUCCUCUCUUAUUAUAACUUCUACUCAAGCAGACACUAUGUCUCUUAUGCAAAUAGACUCCUGAGAGGAUUGAUCCAACAUCCAGUAGACAUGCUCAGACAUGUCUGCACCCUAGUGACAGACAAUGUAGAUGUCCCUUGCCCCACCCAAUAGUACUUUACCUUUGUACCAUGCUUCCUAUUUUACAAAACAGUCCAUAUGUGCAAUCACAUUUGAUUCUCAGCGUGCGUCUCACAGGGAGGCAGGCAGGAUCGAUGGUUUUACUUCUAUUUUACAGAUUCAAAAACUACGCCUUAUUCAAGUUCACAUAGCUGGCAAGUGGAUUAGAUUAGGCUCUUUUAACUUCAAACCCACUGCUCUUUCUAUUCCAGCCUACUAUAUCCUUUAAAGGGGGGGAUGGAUUAAUUUACUUCCACUUGAGAAAUUAUCAGGACAAUGAGCUACAAGAUGACAAACAAUGAGGGUUUGCUAUUUAUUAUGUGUGAAGCAGGGCAUUUUACCCACUGAACAGCAGGAUCUCAAUUGUUGCUCAUUCCAAUACCAUGGUAACUAUAUAUUUUUCUUUUUAAAAACAAUAUUAAAUAAUACAUUGUGCCUUUGUGUACAUAUAAGUGCAGUAUGGUAUUUUGGCAGUUUAUUGCAAAGUAUCAAGGCUUCCCGAUGACAUGCUAAGGAAUCAAAUUGAAAACACUGGGUCUAUGUUUUCGCAUAAAAAUCAAGAGCCAAGAACUCUCAAGUGGAUACCAAUGUAGUAUAGUAAGGCAACCACGUUAUGCACCUAGAUAUUCCCAUAUGUACAGUGACACAUGAUUACAUGAAAUUGACAAUAUUGUCUUUUUAAAAUUAUCAGCAAUAGAUCUGGAGUAAUAGAAAACUUCUGAAAAUAUUCCACAGUCCGUCAGUUGUUGGUCCUGUGUCUCUCUCCCACCGAUCAUUUGAUUUUUCAUUUCAAAGCAUUCACAGAGAAGGCAUGACAUUUUUUCAUUUCUUUUCCAUCUGUAGGGCAUGUUGGAGUCCUUUAUUAGAUUUUAUUAAUAUUUCAGAGUCCCAGGAUUGGGAUGAUUGUUGAAUUGGUGAAGGCGACAAUAUCAGGCAAUUUGCAUUCUAUUUGAGUCUCAUUAUCAACUCAAGUUGGUCAGGCUGUCAGCCAUGGAGAAGGGCGUUGCCUGGCAUUUAGGAAUUAUUCAAUGAAUAAAAUUUUUAAAAGCCAUAAAAAUCAUAUACUUUUCAAAUUCACAUACACAGACUUGUGUUAACUUGUCAUAUUUCAGCAUCACAUUAAAACUAUCUUCUGUAAUUAUGUCUAAUUUAAACUGUAACAAUUCUGUAGAUAUCUUAUAUCUUAAAGCCCUUUUCUUGGAAUAAAAAUUCUUACACAUCUCCACAUUGUCUAUCUUAAUUCUAGCCAUGAUUGAGAAGUCUUCCUAUUAAUUCAUACAUCUUUAUUUUUUAAAGUCUUUUUGUCGUGCAUUCUGCACAUCUCUCUAUGCAGAGUUAGCUCUUUUGAGUUAUUAAAUUCAAUAAUAGUACUUAUAACAACAAUAGCAGCAGCAACAGCACUUACAUUUAGAUAGUGCUUUCUAUAUACUAGAAAUUGUGCUCAACUAUAUGCAUUAUUUCAUUUCAUACAUAUAGCAACCUUAUGAGUUAGGCUAUAACUCAUUUUGCCCCCAGAUUUGAAGAAUCAGGCUCAGAGAAGUUACCUAAUUAGCCCAUGGUU
ensembl:lncRNA CHL1-AS2 CHL1 antisense RNA 2